rnacentral:snoRNA from 1 species
AUACCAUGAUGAGGACAUCUCCUAAGUAACUCCUUAAAUCUCUCUCAUGCAUCAUAUAAACUCUUAUCUUCAAGUUGAUGGAAAGAUGUGAUCUCAUUCCUCAAAUU